rnacentral:rRNA from 1 species
GUAAACGCUGGCGGCGUGCCUAAAACAUGCAAGUCGAACGCAUGACUUUUUGGAGUGUGAGUGGCAGACGGCUGAGUAACGCGUGGGUGACCUGUCCUCGAGUGGGGAAUAACUGCCCGAAAGGGUGGCUAAGACCGCAUGAGCUUCAUCUGUCGGAAGGUGGAGGAAAACCUCGUGAGGGGUGCUGGAGGAGGGGCCCGCGUCCGAUUAGCUGGUUGGUGAGGUAACGGCUCACCAAGGCGACGAUCGGUAGCUGGUCUCAGAGGAUGAUCAGCCAGACUGGGACUGAGAGACGGCCCAGACUCCUACGGGAGGCAGCAGUUAGGAAUUUUGGGCAAUGGGCGCAAGCCUGACCCAGCAACGCCGCGUGGGUGACGAAGGCCUGG